rnacentral:rRNA from 1 species
GUGCCAGCAGCCGCGGUAAUACGUAGGGUGCAAGCGUUAAUCGGAAUUACUGGGCGUAAAGCGUGCGCAGGCGGUUUUGUAAGACAGUGGUGAAAUCCCCGGGCUCAACCUGGGAACUGCCAUUGUGACUGCAAGGCUAGAGUGCGGCAGAGGGGGAUGGAAUUCCGCGUGUAGCAGUGAAAUGCGUAGAUAUGCGGAGGAACACCGAUGGCGAAGGCAAUCCCCUGGGCCUGCACUGACGCUCAUGCACGAAAGCGUGGGGAGCAAA